GUUCAAUUCAAUCAAAUUCUGUAGCAGUAAAAAGCACAAAUACAAAAUAAAUCAUCUAAAUAUUUGUAUUGGACAUACUGUUUUACAUUUGCCAUUUCUUUAUAAAACAGUGGAUUGCAAAAUGAAAUGUAGUACGAGGUGGAAGUCUUCAAAGAUAGUUCUUACAAGGGCCUUCAACUCAAAGGACUAAACCUUGUACUGGUGCAGGCUUGGCUGGCUGAUGUUCUGUGAACUCGGAAGCUUUCGGAGACUCAGAUAAAUGAACCUGUGCGAAAUCAGUAACCAUUUUCUGCCUUUGCUCAUCCUCUGUCAUUCCCACUUUCUCUUUUGUCAUCUGGCCUACUUCCCCUGCUGCCUUAGCAACCUUACUAAAAGCGCCGGCUACCCAAGUGGACCCAGUCAGAACAUACCGAUUUUUCAUAAUGGCUGAUCCAGCGCUACUAACUGUUUGCUCAGCUGCAGAAAGUGCUGAUUUUGCUUUAUCAGAAACUUGGAGUUUCUGAUCCACCUCUCGAACUUUGUCAUUAACAAUGGAAGUACCAAUGCUUAUCUUUUCAGUGAGACCAAUUUUUUUGUCGAGAGAGGCCACUUUAGCAGUUGCAGUUGAGGUCAACUGGUGUUUCUCAUCAAAAGACUUUGCUUUCCCUACAGCAUCUUUACCUAAGAUAUAACCUUUUGCGAGCAUGCUGCUAACAACGUCUUCUGCUUUCUGAAAAGCGGAUUCUGAAUUACCAGCACUUUUCUUUCCAGUUGGCACUGAUGCUGUAAAAGCAGUAGGAGGAAGCUGGUAAACUGGAUCCAAAGUCACCGUAACAGACAUAUCAACUAUUGUUGCACCCGAAAGAAGAACUGCAGUGUCAGCUCCCUGAGAAUCAUUGAACGUAACAUAUGCUAUUUGACUUCGUUCAGUAUCACUUUGCAUCUCAACAUAUUCAAUAUCACCAGAGAAAGAAAAGAAUUCCUUGAUAUCACGCUCUGAUGCCCCUAAGGAGACAUUGCUAACUUUAACAGUUUUCACCGACAUCGCAGCAGUUCGAUGAGAGAUCGGAAAAAAUCAGAUGUUGGAGAGAAUGAAAUGCAAAGGAGUAGAGAGAAGAGAGGAUUUAUGAGGAUUUUGGAGAUGGGGAAGAAUUGAGGGUUGACGGAGUUUAGAGAAUGAAGAGCCGGCGAGAAUUAACGGCGUUGACGGUGGUGACGGGUGAACUUUUUCCAAAU
rnacentral:misc_RNA from 1 species